CUCAGGAUGAACGCUAGNNGGAGGCUNANNNCAUGCNAGUCGNNGGCAGCACGAUCUUNGGAUUGGUGGCGACCGGCGCACGGGUGCGUAACGCGUAUNCAACCUACCUUUUGCAGGGGGAUAGCCCAUGGAAACGUGGAUUAACACCCCAUAUUUCUGUUGAUAUGCAUGUAUUAACAGGGAAAACUCAGGUGGCAAAAGAUGGGCAUGCGUCUGAUNAGCUAGAUGGUGUGGUAAUGGCACACCAUGGCGACGAUCAGUAGGGGGCCUGAGAGGGUGGUCCCCCACACUGGUACUGAGACACGGACCAGACUCCUACGGGAGGCAGCAGUGAGGAAUAUUGGACAAUGGGGGCAACCCUGACCCAGCCAUCCCGCGUGAAGGAUGACUGCCCUAUGGGUUGUAAACUUCUUUUGUACGCCAGGAAUGGUCCCGAUGUAUCGGGAUUUGACAGUAGCGUACGAAUAAGCACCGGCUAACUCCGUGCCAGCAGCCGCGGUAAUACGGAGGGUGCAAGCGUUAUCCGGAUUUAUUGGGUUUAAAGGGUGCGCAGGUGGCUAUUUAAGUCAGUGGUGAAAGUAUGCCGCUUAACGGUAUGACUGCCAUUGAUACUGGAUAGCUUGAGUAUGGUUGAGGCAGGCGGAAUGUGCGGUGUAGCGGUGAAAUGCAUAGAUAUCGCCCAGAACGCCGAUUGCGAAGGCAGCUUGCUAAGCCAUUACUGACGCUGAGGCACGAAAGCGUGGGUAGCGAACAGGAUUAGAUACCCUGGUAGUCCACGCUGUAAACGAUGUUCACUCGCUGUUUGCAAUACACUGUAAGCGGCUGAGCGAAAGCAUUAAGUGAACCACCUGGGGAGUACGCUCGCAAGAGUGAAACUCAAAUGAAUUGACGG
rnacentral:rRNA from 1 species